UCCUUCUCUUACCGUUAAAUGUUUUUAGUACCGAUUUAUACGAUGGGCAUAAAUGUUGAGGAUCCUCAAAUAUCGAACGGUGUGUUCUGGAACAUUUCACCUCUAGCACCGACGAAACAAUUCCACUUACCGGUAUCCGGGUGAUAAGAUAGUAUUUUAUUUAUCCCAGAGGCAAUUCCGGGCAGCUCGAAAGAGAAGCUCAAAAAUACAACAACAUAUUCAUAUCCGCCAAACAGACUCAUACAUUCAUGAUUCAGACAGUUUUAUUCAUUUGCACAGGGUAACAGCUUGGGCUGUUUGAAGGUUCCUUUUUAAAAAUUAUUUUGAUGUUGUUUUGUGAGUGGACUGAGUAGAUUAAGCUGUGAAAUGCGCUGUAGUAUUAUUGUUAGUAUGUCAAGAUAUGAAUGCGGUCAGUCCUGCUAACAAAAGACCUUUCAACUGUGUCUGCUAAACAACAUCCUGGAACAGGUUGGAAAACAUCCGGGAGAUUAUAGUUUGAGGUCAAUGUACGAAACUAGUUGAGUAAAUUUAUUUAUGAACUUCUUUCUGAGUUUUCACAAAAUUUGUAGCACCCACUGUAAACUUCCUAGCAAUAACCGCAUAGCAGUAUAGCAGCACAACUGAGAAGUGAGUCUGUGACCAGCCUGGAUGGUAAUAACGUGGGUGAAAUACGAUGGGUAUAAAUGUUGAGGACUCUCUAGGUUUCGAACAGUUUGUUCAUUGUCGUGUGACCUGCUCUGACAUGUUUCACAUACUACAUCGAGGAAAUAAUUCCACUUUCCGGUUGCCAUAAAGUCGUGUCCUGGUGAUCUUUGGCUUCUCGCGCCAUGUGCGCAUCCGCGUGCGACCCUGCGCUGGCAAACACUUCAUCAAACGAAACUCAGAGCAGACGAAAUUUUUCGGGUGAUUGGGAGGGAACACGACCAAGACCAAGACACCAUGGCCGAGCCUAACGAGGGAAAGACUGAAUGGCCAGAGCUGCAAGGCAAGAAAUAUGACGAGGCGGAGAAGGUCAUCAAGGAAGAAAACCCUUCCUUAGAGAUUCAGAAAGUUCUCCCUGGACAGCCAAUGUCUCGAGACUUCCGGCCGUCGCGCGUGCGCAUUCUGGUGGACGAGGAUGACGUAGUAACGCGGACGCCUUCCAUUGGCUAACCAAAACUCUUCAUAGAUGCCUGUUGAGAAAGACCCUGGUCAGCAAGUAAACAAACCGUUGUCGAUAUAAACAACACAUUCUUUUAUGCGCAGAAGCUAUGUGGCUGAAGUUUCUUGGAUACAAAUAUCCCGUUGUACGUAGAUAUCAAUAAGUAAAGUGAAUAAUUAGCUCUGACCAUCUCUUGAUGGACCGCAAAUAUGUGAAGGAAGUAUAGACAGAGUGAUGAGAGUGUUAUAGUUACAUAAGCCCCUGUGGUCUAUUGCAAUAUUAUUGAAGCAGCAUUAACAUCGACGGUUUCUUGUUUGUGUCAGCUGAUUUUUUUUUUGCAACCUUCGCCUGAAACCAUUCCAGACCCAUGCCACAGAUACGCAGAUAGCGGCAGUCUUCACACAGAAGCAUAAGCAUGUAGGACUUUCAUUGGAUGAUUUGUUUUUAGGGACUUUGUUUUGAGGCGCCACAACUUGACCGUUGCUCUGCUUUUUACCCACUGUCCUCUAAAAUGUUUAUCUUUGUUAUUGUCGCUAUUUUUACUACUAGUGUGUAACAAAAAAUAUAACCACCGAUAUGGCAUUAAUCAAACACCACUACUUCGUUAUCGCACCAAAUUAAUAAUGUGUGUCCAAAAUGGGGUCUCGAUAUCAAUAGGGUUUCUUAACAUUUUUUGUCAAUUCAUUUAUUUGUAUUUUUAACAAUCGUAUUUGUAGGAAAUAAAUGCUUCAAUGCAA